rnacentral:rRNA from 1 species
GAUGAACGCUGGCGGCGUGCCUAACACAUGCAAGUCGAGCGAUUCUCUUCGGAGAAGAGCGGCGGACGGGUGAGUAACGCGUGGGUAACCUGCCCUGUACACACGGAUAACAUACCGAAAGGUAUGCUAAUACGAGAUAAUAUGCUUUUAUCGCAUGGUAGAAGUAUCAAAGCUCCGGCGGUACAGGAUGGACCCGCGUCUGAUUAGCUAGUUGGUAAGGUAACGGCUUACCAAGGCGACGAUCAGUAGCCGACCUGAGAGGGUGAUCGGCCACAUUGGAACUGAGACACGGUCCAAACUCCUACGGGAGGCAGCAGUGGGGAAUAUUGCACAAUGGGCGAAAGCCUGAUGCAGCAACGCCGCGUGAGCGAUGAAGGCCUUCGGGUCGUAAAGCUCUGUCCUCAAGGAAGAUAAUGACGGUACUUGAGGAGGAAGCCCCGGCUAACUACGUGCCAGCAGCCGCG